UACGUAGGUGACAAGCGUUGUCCGGAUUUACUGGGCGUAAAGAGCGCGCAGGCGGUCGAUCAAGUCGAGUUUGAAAGCCCCCGGCUCAACUGGGGAGGGUUAUUCGAAACUGGUCGACUCGAAGGCAGGAGAGGGUAGUGGAAUUCCCGGUGUAGUGGUGAAAUGCGUAGAUAUCGGGAGGAACACCGGUGGCGAAGGCGGCGUUCUGGACUGCAACUGACACUGAGGAACGAAAGCCAGGGGAGCAAACGGG
rnacentral:rRNA from 1 species